rnacentral:rRNA from 1 species
GUCCACGCUGUAAACGUUGGGCGCUAGGUGUGGGGGGCCUCUCCGGUUCCCUGUGCCGCAGCUAACGCAUUAAGCGCCCCGCCUGGGGAGUACGGCCGCAAGGCUAAAACUCAAAGGAAUUGACGGGGGCCCGCACAAGCGGCGGAGCAUGCGGAUUAAUUCGAUGCAACGCGAAGAACCUUACCUGGGUUUGACAUGGCCGCAAAACCGGCAGAGAUGUCGGGUCCUUCGGGGGCGGUCACAGGUGGUGCAUGGCUGUCGU